rnacentral:lncRNA from 1 species
CAACCACGCACUAGGAGCAAAGCCGAGAGAGAGAUUUGGACACCCAUUCAGCUCAAACAUAAUCGAGUGAGAGGAAAAAGAAAACAUUUCUGGUUUCUCUUUGCCUCCAGUCUGCAACCGAGAGAGUGAGAGUGAGAGAGAGGCACUGGCUCGCUUCAUUUCUUCAGCUGGUAGCCUCAACACCCAAACGUGAGAAAAAAAGGGAGAGCUGGUGCAGGAGUUUGAGGGACGAAGCUAGGAGCAGGAAACCAAACGUGCGAUCUGCAAUUUGUUUUCAAACGUUAGGAGGAAAGAACGAGGUACGUGGCUGCAAUACCUUCUAAACAACUAGUACACUUGGAUAUUACUGUGGUAUGCUGGAAUGUAGCUAAGAAAAAUUCUGUUUGAUAGAAGGGAAAACUUGUUUAGGGAGUGGUUACCUUUCAGCUCCAUCCGAGGAAAAAAAAAAACUGAUCAUGCAGCUUGUUAACCGAAAGUAGGGAGUAAUCUUCUGCUAGAAGCUCAAACUAUAUGCUAUUUUCUUGUCUUACCUGAGAACUUGGAGCAGGGUUGAUAACUGCAGUGAGAAGAGCUUGUAGUUGAAGUAAAUGCCGGGCAACAACUGUGAAAUCUCAGAAAAAUUGCAGAAACUGAGUGUUGAGCUGGAACUUGCAACUGAUGUCAAAAUUUCUUGGGUUGAUAACGUUAUGGGGUGCAUGCAACAGAUUAUUUGUUUCCUUCUUCAGUUUAAGGGGUCAGUCGUAGGUUAGUGAGUGUGAAGUGGAGAGAACCAUACGUGAAAGAACUCUGAUGCAAGCUGCGGUACUUCAGUUUUGCAGCCUUGCGCAGAGCUGAAUUUUAGUCAGCUUUCCUUUUGAGUUUUGAACAUAAACUGCCCCGUUUUGCUUAAGUUAACUUGAAGUUGAAUCAAUAUACUUUGUACAUAAUCUGGAACAGAAAACUGAGGAGGAAUGAAAAGGGAAAAAUGCAGCUGCUAAGCCAUUACAUGCUGAAAUUCUUUUGGCUUCAGCCGAGAGAGUGAAACAGAAGGUGCUUCUGACCGUAUAUUUUUUACCAUGAAAAUGCGAGAACUGGGUGUCAAUGUCUUCUUAAGAAAUGUAGGUCUAUGUCUUAGCUUCGAAACUCUAUAAAAUUUGCCUCAAUCCAAUAAGCGUAGCUCCAGUUAUGAUCAAAACACCAGAGGGUGGCAAAGCUGCCUUUCUCGUUGCCUUUUUUUUUUUUUUUUUUUUUGUAAGCGGGAGGACUCGAACCCGAGACCUCUUGCUUACACUCCCUCCCCCGUACCACCCAACCCGGCCCUCCCCCUGCCUUUCUCGUU